rnacentral:rRNA from 1 species
GCGGCGUGCUUAACACAUGCAAGUCGAACGAUGAAGCACCAGCUUGCUGGUGUGGAUUAGUGGCGAACGGGUGAGUAACACGUGAGUAACCUGCCCCUCACUCUGGGAUAAGCCUGGGAAACUGGGUCUAAUACUGGAUACGACCGAUUUCCGCAUGGAGUGUUGGUGGAAAGUUUUUGUGGUGGGGGAUGGACUCGCGGCCUAUCAGCUUGUUGGUGGGGUAAUGGCCUACCAAGCCGACGACGGGUAGCCGGCCUGAGAGGGCGACCGGCCACACUGGGACUGAGACACGGCCCAGACUCCUACGGGAGGCAGCAGUGGGGAAUAUUGCACAAUGGGCGAAAGCCUGAUGCAGCGACGCCGCGUGAGGGAUGACGGCCUUCGGGUUGUAAACCUCUUUCACCAGGGACGAAGCUAACGUGACGGUACCUGGAGAAGAAGCACCGGCUAACUACGUGCCAGCAGCCGCGGUAAUACGUAGGGUGCGAGCGUUGUCCGGAAUUAUUGGGCGUAAAGAGCUUGUAGGCGGUCUGUCGCGUCUGCUGUGAAAGACCGGGGCUUAACUCCGGUUCUGCAGUGGGUACGGGCAGACUAGAGUGUGGUAGGGGAGACUGGAAUUCCUGGUGUAGCGGUGAAAUGCGCAGAUAUCAGGAGGAACACCGAUGGCGAAGGCAGGUCUCUGGGCCAUUACUGACGCUGAGAAGCGAAAGCAUGGGGAGCGAACAGGAUUAGAUACCCUGGUAGUCCAUGCCGUAAACGUUGGGCGCUAGGUGUGGGACUCAUUCCACGAGUUCCGUGCCGCAGCUAACGCAUUAAGCGCCCCGCCUGGGGAGUACGGCCGCAAGGCUAAAACUCAAAGGAAUUGACGGGGGCCCGCACAAGCGGCGGAGCAUGCGGAUUAAUUCGAUGCAACGCGAAGAACCUUACCAAGGCUUGACAUACACCGG